AAAGACACACUAUACACACUAUACACACCUUGUAGAAACACUCAACAAACCAAGACACACUAUACACACCUUGUAGAAACACUCAACAAACCAAGACACACUAUACACA
rnacentral:sRNA from 1 species